CCCUUAGAUGUCCUGGGCCGCACGCGUGCUACACUGACGCCUACAGCGAGUACUUCCCAGCCCCGAGAGGCGGCUGGUAAUCAGCAAUAGGCGUCGUGAUGGGGAUAGAUCUUUGGAAUUAUGGAUCUUGAACGAGGAAUGCCUAGUAAGCGCAGGUCAUUAGCCUGCGCUGAUUACGUCCCUGCCCUUUGUACACACCGCCCGUCGCUACUACCGAUUUCGAGUGGUUCGGUGAACCUUUCGGACCGGCAAUGCCUCGUGUUGCGCCGGAAAGUCAAGUAAACCAUAUCACUUAGAGGAAGGAGAAGUCGUAACA
rnacentral:rRNA from 1 species